CUCCACCUUACACGGUGUACGAUCCAUUAGGUUCCUUUUAGCGAGGCAGUGGGCGAUUAAAAGCAUUUCAAAUCGAUUGUGAAUUGAAACUUACUUUCAAUUCUCCCUUUAAUGAUUAUACACGUUUAGGGCUUCCACAAACCAUGAGUGACACCUAGCAGCAUAUCAUGGUUACCCAAGCUAAUCAGAAAAUGUGGAGAACCUAUUCAGUUUAGGAUUACAAAUGCAAUACGGUCUUUCUCUAAUACAAUACUCUUGACCACAUUGUUUGGUUUGAUAGUUUAUUCAUGUCUACUAUCCAAUGUGAUUCGUGUGCUUAUAUGAUUACCUUGAAUGUGAUUUGGAACGACUUCCUAAAUCUCAUUCAUACUCUGGUCAGAGAUUCUUAAUCAUAUCAUAGAGUAUUCUCCCCCAAACGGUUUGAAGGUUAGAGAUCCCUUGUUGCGCAUUCACUUGCCUCCAUGGCUAAGUGGCUUAACCCCGACGAUGCCGUGGACACCCACGGAUGGGGUGACUUUGACAUAAUCAAAGAUCAAGUACCUAACCACAAGACAACUAUGAUGCCUCAGGUUAAAGGACUACUUUGCAUUAUCCCAACCAUGAGUUCUCAUGUGACAUGAAUAUGAG
rnacentral:lncRNA from 1 species